CAGAGGAGCUGUUUCCCAUCCCUUUCAUGCCCUGCCCGUGCUCUCCUCACUCCCCUGGCACACACACGGCAAAGCCUGGGAUAAUUCCUGUCCCUUGCAGGGCACUCAAGAGGGAAGUGUGCUCAUGUGGAAACCCGGCACCUUGGAUCACUCCCCUCUGUCUGAGCAGGCUGGCUGCAUCUCACAGAGGCUUUUUUCCCUUGCAGACGGAAAAUAUUCCUCAGUGGAGCCCCAGUAUUUGACUGACACAACAAUAAUAUUCCCUCCAAGUGCGUGGGGCAGCCAGGUGAGAGAAGCUUCACUGGCACCGCUGGGGAUGCGCUGACACCGGCUCCUGGCCCCAGCUGGAGGCUUCGAAGCACACAACAUUUUCCAAGUGGGAUUGCACCUGAAGAUUUGCACCUUUUCCAGCCUGGAAGGAGCAGCCAGAAUGACAGUGCCUUGCUGAGGGUGUGCUGCAGCCAGUGCCCAGGAAUGGAGCAGCUCUUUUGGGAAGUUCUGCGAACCCUUUGGUUUGUCACUGCUGCACCUGGGCAGUGAUGGGCACAAAGAGCUCUGGUUUCUUUGGCACUGUCCCUACCCCUCAGGAGCUGACUGCAAGCUCACACAGGUGAUGUUCCUUAAAUCCUUAACUCCCAGAAGGACAGAAUUGCAUCAGAACCUCCACUUCCAGCUCACCUCACCUCACCUCAUCUCAUCUCUUACCUGGGCCAAGACAAGUGCUGCCCAUCUCAGCCUCCAUGGGGAACACUGGACAAGGAGUUGAGGCCACCACCCUGUCUGCUGCGAGCUUCCCAGCUUGUCCACCUGGGAACUGUAAAAUUCCCUUUCCACGUACAGGAUCUGGGCUGCUCUUCAGCACGCUUGAGACAGGGGAGUGUGACAACCCAGUCUGCCCAGUGAUGGAAAGUUAGAAACUGGAAAUGUACCUGGAUGCCACCCUGAGUCAGCCCAAACCGAAGCAUCUCUACAAAACACCUAGAUGUGAACAAACUGCCGUCCUCUGACAAAAAUAUUCCGUCUGAGAAUUUCUGACCAGCUCCGGCAGUAAACACCUCCAGGGUGUCGUUUUUGUCUGAUACAGGGCAAAAAUUAUUCGGGUACCUAUUGCUCGGGGUGGAAAGAUGAGGGAAUGGAAUAGUAAAUUAAAGGGGUUGGAAACAAAAAGCAGCUGAUUGUCUGAGCACGGCUGGUCAAGCUGUGUUCAGGUUAUCUGUGUGGGAACGCACCUUUCCAUGGACGAAAUGCCCGUGGAAUUCGUGCUCUUGUCCCCUUCCCCUCACUGAGCGGGCUUUACACUUGUGGGGCGUUACAGCUUGUGGGGGUUUUACACUUGUGUUUAUUUUCCAGCCUCCCCUCGGUGGCGUUUGU